CGGACGGGUGAGUAAUGCCUAGGAAUCUGCCUGGUAGUGGGGGACAACGUUUCGAAAGGAACGCUAAUACCGCAUACGUCCUACGGAGAAAGCAGGGGACCUUCGGGCCUUGCGCUAUCAGAUGAGCCUAGGUCGGAUUAGCUAGUUUGUGAGGUAAUGGCUCACCAAGGCGACGAUCCGUAACUGGUCUGAGAGGAUGAUCAGUCACACUGGAACUGAGACACGGUCCAGACUCCUACGGGAGGCAGCAGUA
rnacentral:rRNA from 1 species